ensembl:lncRNA
AUGAGCGUGAAGAGGAAGAAGCCUGGGCUGGUCAUCAGCUGGCAGAAGUCCUUCUCCCUCCUGGCUCCUUGGAGGAAAGGGAAAGGAGACAGAGACGCGGUUCUGGACAGAGAGGUUGUUCUGACCAAAAUGAAGCUCUUCAGCAACAUCCACAAGAUGCUUCCGACGGCCGACGACUCGGCCUCCACCAUCUCAACUGUGUCCGUUUCGGAGCAGGACGUCUGUGACCCCAGCAAACCCUCUGAAGUACGUUCCCACCGCGUUGACGAGCCGGGCCGGCUUCAGACGGAGUCCGUCUCACGGCACCCGGCCUCGGACUCUCGGCUGACGAGGUCGUACAAGUUUGAGUCGGAGGACUCUGGAGUGGAGCUGCCCAGCGGCGCGGACUCUCCGUCCACCCCGACGAGCUCUGAGCAGAGCUUCACUGUCCACAGCCGAGAGUCCUCCUGCAACCGGAACUCCGACGCCGGCGCCGCCCCCGAUGACCUGGUGCCACUCACGCAGCUCCCGGAGAGCAAACAGGCGCCGGGCUCAGCGGACGAUGGUGCGAGUGCAGCAGCGGGUGCUCUGGACGACGGUUUCAUACACUCAGAGGAGCUCAGUUCAGCCGUGGGUGCAGAGCGGCGCGCAGGUGAGGAGGUGGACGGGGACCAGAGCGGGGGGUCGGGAACCAGCCCGGAGAGAGACGAGGACAUGCCGGGACAGCUUGAGGAAACCUGCGCCGAAACCGAGAGGACCUGCUUCCGAGGAGACGGCAGCCACUGCGAGCCGGCGCCUCGGCGGAGCCGUGAGACCAGAGACAGCCUGGAGGACUACAUGGACCAAUGCUGCAGACUGAGUGAGGCACAGCAAGCGAGUUCCAACCCUCCGGGCUCGGGCCUGGAUUACCUGGAUCACAUCUGCCAACUCAUCGCCAGGAUCGGCCACCUGCAGGAGAACAACCUCCAGCUGCAGCGGCAGAUCUACAGCCUUCAGAAGGACAGCAGGACGGCAAAGACCAAAGAGGACUUUUUCCAGCAUCACUGCAGCUGUGGAGCGGCCUGCUUGUCUUUCCAGGACAUUCAGAAGAGACAGUCCAGAAGUGACUUCUCGUCCCCCAGUGGGACCCUCUCUGACCUGUCCACCAUCCCCGAGGUCACCCGGCCUCCACUCUUACCAGCCCGAGGAGACAUGAGCGGUGCGGGUUUGACACCCGUCCAACUGUGGAAGACGGGCUUGUACCGGAGGAGUUACACCGAGGGGGAAGAGCCCUUCCUCAGCCACAGCACCGAGGCGCUCUCCAUCCCCCAGCGAAGGCUCAGCGAAAACUGCACAUGGGGACGAGUCAAAGACCUGGUGAGGAAGACUAAGGUGAAGAACCAAAGCCGGCUGCGCCUGAAUUCUGCCUCCCUGGAGAGGUCCUGCCCACAGCUCUACAUGCCUGACGUGGAACCAUUAGAACCCGCUUGCAGAGACAGGAGCUCCAUGAUAGCCUUGGGCCACCACAGCAAACUGGACGUCCCUUGGUUACAAUAAACAUGGAGGAGGGACACGCAUCCGUUCUGGGAGAAUAACCACCACGCACCAUCCAGCAAUCCUCAAGCCAUUAUUUUAUUAAAGGCUGUUGAAGUGGUCCGAUAAAGGAUGGGCUCCGGGAGAGAAGGGACACAUUCUGGGGCUUUACAAUCCACUACAUGAUGCGGCUGCUGCAAUGCUGCCAUUUGGGCUAAAAAAAUAAAGAAAAAUUGACUUGAUACACAACUAAGAUUACUCAGAAUGUGCCUCAGUCUGAACACACUUUCAGAAGCUUGUAAACGUUAAAGUUGGCUGGACGUUUUCUUUGGAAUGCACAGUGCAAAAUAUACUAAAUCAAUAUUGUAAAGUUAAUAUUCUCGCUAUCAAAAGAACAUUUCUUGAUCGCUAAGUCACACCCUCAUCUUUGCACAAUGGAUGGAGAACAAACGAUAAUAACACAGAUAACAAUUGUCAUUUGUUUAUGUCAGAGUAACAAACAGCUAGUUGGUUGAUUGGGACAUUGUGAUGCAUUUCAUUUCCAACGUCACACUUGUACCAUUAUGUGGUUUGGAUGUCAGGACUCUACUGCAUGCUAUUGUACUCCAAAACGGGAAAACUGUAAGUAAACUAUUGCAUUUAAGUAGAAUUUUGUAAGACAAUAACUUUUUCUAAUAAGUUAUAUCUGAGGUUUAUCUGCAUGGCGUCAGACAACUAUAUAUGUAUUUUAUGUUUCUGUAUGGAUAUUGCAUUCAUAUUCAAAUGUAUUUUUUAAUAAAAAUUCAAUCCAAAGGAAUUGAUGCAGAAUGAGCACAUGUGCCAUUAUGCGUGUUACACAAACGCUGGGAUGGACGAUCGUCAGCCUUGACCGCUCUCAGGUGGUCACAGCGAGGAAACUCAACCAAAAAUACUCCGAUGACAGACAUUGAUUUUCUCGAGGGAGAUUUGUCUUGUCUGUAAUUCAUUAUACCGUCACCCUUUUAUGAAUUGAUAUGUCUGCUGUGUGCCGCACACAGGAGGCCACAACUGCGUCUCGUUGUGCGAUCCCUUGCAUUGCACAGUGACAGUAACGCUCAAUACUUACCUAUGAAACAGUGAGGUGAUUGUUUUCUACAAUCCACCUCCACAGUUUUGAAGAGUCAACGUGAGUGAGUUGCAUUCAAAUGCGUUCACCCACCGGGUCAUUACACCCUCGGCAUCACAUGGUGAGGGGGCCCUGGGUUCCCGGCUUCAAUUAGUUGUAACAGUCAGCAUCCGUAGCACACUGGCUGAGACCAUACUAAGCAGGGAGACGUCAACCUGGAAGUGCAUUGACGAGCUCGUGAACAGUAGUUUGACAGCAGGGCGGAGCUGAGGGGCUAAAGGGGGCUGGGGGCCCCUGAUAAGCGCCGGCAUCCUGCUGGUGCGUCGCAGAGUGCCGUUGCUCAGGACAACAUGAUUUAGGAAACGUCCCAAAAAGUUGAUCAUACUGCCCAGAUCUGAACGUUUUUCCAGGCCAUUUUUUAGGGACUCUUUACGGACCCCGUCCCCAAAACAUUGAUCUCAAGAUGCCUGAAAGAACGGUCUAGAGAGGGUGGAACACCGGACCAAAGCGCAUAACAUUUAGAAUCUGGCUGAUACCAUGUAAUGACUAAGAAAAGGACAGCACGUAUGAUACUUUCUAUGCUGGAGUUAAGCUCUGGUGUACAUCUACCACUCUAUGUACUUUCUGAUUCGUCCUUUACGGUAAGAAAGAACCAUAAAUGACGAUCUGUGAUUGUAUAUGACUUUUACUGAUAACAUAAUGCAGUAUAGCCAGGACAGCCUUACAGAGUCGCGACGCUUUGUGUUGCGUUGCUUCACAUUGCGUCGAGGUCUGUAUGAUCACAAAAUUCAGAGUUUACCCACCUCUAAUUUUACCACUACAGCACUGCCUAUAUGUGAUGUCUCAGUGGUGUUUGUGACUAGCAGGUGCACUGAAUGAACUGAUUAGGUGAGUGACAGGUGGGGGAGACAGGGUAGAAAGUGACGGAGCUGUGGCGAGGCUUAUUUCUUUU